CAGAAAUUCAGGAGUGGGCCCAGGAGUCCAUGCUUUCCCAGGCCCUCCAGGGGAACCCUGAUCCACGCUCGACUUUGAGAACCACCGGAAUGGAGCAAAGCGCGGUUGGUUAUUAAUUUUGGAAUGUUUUAGACCCGUUAACCUAAUCCGGGCUCAGAGCCCUAGACGGGGCUGAGAAGGUACAGGAAGAUUGAGCCUCAAUUCUGAUCACUCUGUCCUAUCGCAUGUCCCCGCGUUCAUCAAGAGGAGGGAAAGGCGGGCGAGGACGAGGCUCUGAAGGGGCGGGGACAGGAGAGGAAAAGGGCACGAAGCGUAUGCAGCCAUGUUUUGAAACCCCGACACGGGACGCACAGAAGGGGACCCAAUGUUCCAGAUUGAAGCUGCGCCGUCACCUACCUGGUCCUGAGGUGAGGACGAAGUGGAGCCAAGCUGCUUGCCUCCCUGAGGGACGUGGAGUGAGAGCCAGAAGUAAUCCUUUGCUUAAGUGACUGAGAUUUUCAGAGCUGUUCAUUACGGCAGCAAAACCUAGAACAUCCUGACUGAUGCGAGCUACGUAAUACCCAUUUCCCCACAAUAUAAAUGAGGAAACUCAUGCUCAGAGAGGUUCGG
rnacentral:lncRNA from 1 species